UACGAAGGUGGCUAGCGUUGUUCGGAAUUACUGGGCGUAAAGCGCUCGUAGGUGGAUUGUUUAGUGAAGGGUGAAAUCCCAGGGCUCAACCCUGGAACUGCCUUUCAUACUGGCAAUCUCGAGUCCGGAAGAGGUGAGUGGAAUUCCGAGUGUAGAGGUGAAAUUCGUAGAUAUUCGGAGGAACACCAGUGGCGAAGGCGGCUCACUGGUCCGGUACUGACGCUGAGGUGCGAAAGCGUGGGAGCAAACAGG
rnacentral:misc_RNA from 1 species